rnacentral:lncRNA from 1 species
CAAGAGAUCUUGAUGUUAGAGUUGUGGUGGAUACUAUAACAAGCAACUCAAGUGCCCGCGAAGAUAAGAAAACAGUCAGAUUCAUCUUCCAGUCAUUGUAUCUUGGUAAAAUCGACACCUUACUUCCAAUUAUGCAAGAAUAUUUCCCUGAGUUAGGCUUGGUGAGAGAGGAUUGUGUCGAAACCAGUUGGAUCGGGACGGCGCCAAUGUUUUCAUUUUUUCCAGUAGGGACUGAUCCAAAAAUAUUACUCAACAAAACGGCCACCACAAGAAAUCCUGUCAAGAUAAAGUCGAGUUUCACGACGCAACCAAUUUCUUUGGAAGGACUCAAUGGUAUAUGGGACUUGUGGCUCAAGCAACCAGUACAAACCACGCUCAUUCAAUACACUCCAUUCGGUGGGAGAAUGAACGAGUUUGCAGAGUCUGCACUUCCAUUUCCCCAUCGUCCUGGUGUGUUGUACAUGAUCAACAUGGCCGUGACUGUGGCCCAAAAUGAGGAAGCAACUUUACAGUGGAUUAAUGAUCUGUUUAAAUACUACGCUCCAUAUGUGACCAAGAACCCUAGAACUUCAUACGUGAAUUACAGGGAUGCUGAUCUCGGAACAGGAAGCAAGACAUAUGAACAGGCAAGCAUAUGGGGGAGGAAGUAUUACAAGAAUAAUUUUGAUAGGUUGGUGAAGAUUAAGUCUGUAGUUGACCCUCAGAAUUUCUUCAACCACAAGCAAAGCAUUCCUCUGCUAUAGAAAUUGACAUGCAUGUAUAAAUUGAUGUUCAAAGUGAAAUAAAUCAUAUUCUUAACAUUGAUUUGCAUGUCGUGAAGUUGACAUGCAUCGGGUUGUUAGUUGCUUGAAUUAAUUAGCAAUCAAGUUAUCUAGUUGUAUCUGUAUUUCUAAUAGUGAUCUGGAUGUUGUGAAGCUAGAGUACUGUUGACUAAAUCUGCAAGCCCAGCCCAUAAAAAAAAUUAGAAAUUUAAAGGUUUCUUUGUUUCCAUAUAUAAUCAGUUAUUUACAGGUCGACAAUUACUUAUAUAUGAUUUAUCAUUUACUUUUUUGUAUAUAUAUGUUGAAUUUUCAUGAUGGAGAAAACCAUGAGGCUGUUCUUGAGCAAAGCUUGCCAAUGUUUCAUUUAGUUUCUUUUACGUACCAGAUAUUUCUGUUUUGGUGCAACUACCGAGAACCUCUCCGUUUCAGAAUGUUGAUCCUAUUUUGUCAUUUUCACAAAUGUGUUUAAUGAUUAGCUAAGUGCAUUUAAUAGGCUUAAUUAGUGUAUGAGACUGACUCUACUCUCUCCGUCUUAAUUUACAUUUUUCUUUUGUUUUUCGAAAAAUCAAAUUAACUAAUUUCUAACUUUCUAAUGAUAUUUUUUAUUAUUAUUUGACUUCUCAGAAAGCAGCAAAAGGAAUAUAUAAAUUAAGAUCAGAGAGUAUUAGGGAUUGCUUUGUCGUCCCUAUCCAACUCUAGUGAUGGGCCUAGCCUGUUAUCAGUCACUGAUGGACUGUUUAUUAAAGUUAUCAUUUUAUGGAUACUUUGAAUUUUGCCCGAAGGAUAAACAUGUUGGGCUGUGUGACUUGAGUCCAAGAAAUCUACAGUUGUUGUGCAUAUCGCACUGUAGUCUGUACAUAUUGCUAAAAUUAAAGAAUAUCACUGUAGUCUGACAAUGUCUCUGUCCCACACAGAUUCUAGGAAACCUGAUCAAAGUCUUACCAUGAAUGCUUGCCAAAUGCCGGACCUUAAAAAUAAGGUAAGACAAACGGGCCUAUAUUCCAGGAAUUUGUUACAGAAGCAUGGACUGCAUAAGAAUCUACUGUAUUGGUAAAGGUCAAUGAGAGUAAUUAACUCGUAGAAUCUUGAAAUUAACAGCACAAAUGUGCAGUAUGGUUGAAACAGAUACUCCCUCUGUCUGUAGAUACUUUUCCUGUUUGUACUUUUCACAUUUGCCAACACACAUUUUUAAUCGUUAAUAUCUUUCAUUUCAUAGUAGCAUUAAAUAUAAAAAUUUUACUGUAUUAAAGUACUUGUUAAUACGAAUCUAACAAGAUCACUCAUGAUUAUAUUUAGUUUUAUAGAUUAAAUGUAAAUUAGUAAUACUGUAUUAAAGUACUUGUUAAUACGAAUCUAACAAGAUCACUCAUGAUUAUAUUUAGUUUUAUAGAUUAAAUGUAAAUUAGUAAUUUGUCUCAUGUUAUAAACAGUACCGACAUCACAAACAGGAAAAGAAAAAAGAAACGGAGGGUGUACUACAUUUGUAUCAAAAUUUAACAACUAGAAUACCUAUCAAGCCUCAAGUUCAAAUACAAUAUCAUCAUUUCAUGUUUGAGAGAUAUCCAAUAAUGUGACAGAAACUUGCUGCCCUUUCCAUCAAAUAAUGAUACAAGACAAGUCUAUUUCUGUGAUAGAGAGAGCACACUGCAGAAUGAGCUUUAUACCUCAAAUAGGCUGCUUCACUUUCUGACAGAAGCUUGUAAGCUUAUUGAGAUUUACAGAUUGCUGAUUUUCUGUAUAUCCAUGCAUUGCCAACUGAAAUUUUGACAAAUCUUAUAUUAUAUAUGGCUAAAGUAAGAUAUGUUUCUUAAAAAAAAUUGAACCACAGUCCACAUAUCAUUAGCUCGGAUAUAACACAACUUGAAAUGCAAGAUUUACCGGCACUGUAUGACCUGUAUUUAUGGGACACAGCUGAGAAAUUCCCAUCAUUUUGCAUCAGUAAGAAUAUAUUCCCUUGGUGUUUAUACGUUUGGUACUUUUUAAGAUUCUUACUUAUAAAAUAUAGUUUUAUAAAUUAUUUUAAAUUUAUUUUUUUUUGAAUAAAAUUAAAAUUUUAAUUAAAAAUAAAUUACCCAUGAAAGUAUAUUGUCUUGCUCUAAGUUAUGUAUCGAUCGAUUUUCUAUCUACCUUAUGUCCUCAUAUAUGAUUAUUGUGUUGCUAAUGCAGCUGGAGGAAUUUGAGCGGGCAGUAAAAUCUGAGUUACAAGAAUAGCACACUCCAAGGCAUUAGACCUGUUAGGUAUAAGUGCUUAUGUGUCACCUACAUGGCAUCUAUGUGGCACAUUUUAGAUAAUAUGUAAAAGUUUCACACUCCAACCAUUACCUCUUAGCAAAAAAAUAUAGAUAACUAAAAUUGGGGUGACUACAUUUGUAAAACCUCUAAAACUAUUAUGUAUAAUUUUAAAUAAUAUAUUAUACAUAACACCAUUGGAGUGAACCUAGAAUCUCUUAGCUAUAAUUUUAGAUAAUUAUCUAUAUAUCAUAUUAUAGCUAACAAAUAUAUAUAACACCUUUGGAGAUGUUCUUGGCGCUAUAAUAGCAAAAAAUGUAUAUUUUCACCAUACUUUCCAUAUAUUUAAAUUCUCUUAUGCUGACUUGGGGCCUUAUUAGAAGCCCGCCUUUCGGCACUAGAGGAGCAAACUCUCCGCGAGGCUGUUGUAUCAUGAUCCACAUGCACACCAUGAUUGCUCAAGUCAAGAUCACUGAACAAAUAUAUCCUUUCACAGACUUAAAAGACAACUCCUCCAAUAUUAUUUUUUGACAGCUACUCAAACCUAUACUCCCUCCGUCCCCCUGAGUUGUAUACAUUAGGGGACGGGGACGCGGCACGGACUUUAAUGCUCCUGCAAAGUGUAGUUGUGCAAUUUAUUUUUAAAAUUUUUCUUUUCUGAAUUAAAGUUUAGAUGUUAUAUUUUUAUAAAGAAAAAGAAAAUCUCAAAAAUAAGUUACGGAACUAUAUUUUAUAAGAGUAUUGAAAUGCGUGUCGAACAGUUAAAAAGAAACGUAUAGAAUUAAAUGGGACAGAGGGAGUAUUUAACAGUGUUCGUGUGUAACAAAACGUAGCUGUUUAUUUGGUAGUAUUCGUUAUAUAAACGAGAAUGACAGCCGAGACAGAUCUGAUGUGAUUAUGUGAACAUAAGCUGUGGGAUAUUAUUCUUGCAAGAAUUCAGGAACUGUCAAGGCUUAUAGUUCGUGGUUCUAGAUGUUUUUUAAAUAAUAAAAAUGUAUCAAGCAAGGUUGAUGAAUUUAGGACAUGUCUGGGCGCAUGACCCAUUUUAAUAUUUCCUUCACAACUAUGAUUAGUGUGCAUCAACGAUAACAAAGCUGUUAAACUUAUAUAAUAAGAUAAGUGCACGAGUAUUUAUUAAAAGGUCAAUUAAUAAAAAUAAUUACAAGUACAAACUUAUAAAUUAUGUAUAUGUUAAAUAGUUGCAAGUAAAAGGUGACGUAUAAAUGAAACAACAACGCUGAUCACCCAGUUCUAGAAGGAGUAAAUUGUAAAAUAUUAGUUUAUAUGUAUAAAAAUGAAGUUUCCACGGCUCAGUGUUUAAUUUACAGAUGAAGCCUUUAUACAGGCCCCUGCAAAUCGCCAUACAUCAACAUAUAUACAGCUGCAAUUAUUCAGAGUGGAAUAUACGGUUGUGAAUAAUUAUUUGUAAGAUAAGUCGAACAUAAAUAAAUAUUGUACAAUUGGAAUAAAAUCUUUAUGAAACGACAUACUGUUGCGAUAAAUUAUUUAUAAAAUAUGUACUCGAACAUAAAUCUUAUACAAGAUAUAGAAAAAUCUUUGUGAAUUAAUAAUUUCUGAACUGCUAAAUUUUAUUAAUUUAUCUAUUUUAUUGAUUAACCAAAACAUGUAAUAGUGCUACUAUAUGUCAAAAUAAAAAAUUAUUAAUUAACCACGAAAUUACUGUAUGUGUAAAACUGGAGUUACUUUCCAGUUUAUAAAUGAUUAGACUUACAUUUCAUAGGCAUCUCUGAUCUCCGUAGACUUUAACCAAGACUUUGAAGCAGUCUAAAUACGGAGACUUUCGUUCUUUCUAGUGAAGAUGUAUAAUAACAACAGCCAAAAUGUGCACAACUUAUUUUUAUUCGUUUUACACCUUUAGCUUCAAACGUUUUAUGACAAAAAGACAAUAUCUAUGAAUGCAUCUAGUUAAACUUCUUGUUGUCAAAAAGAAAAUGACCAAACAUGUUUGGUCUAAACAGCCAAGUUAGCGUGUUAUCUCACAUCGAAAGAUCAACUAAUUAAGCUCCUAUUUCAACGUGGAUGAUUAGUUUCUUAUUUCACCACGAGACACAUGCACAUUACAAUAUUACUACGAUAUAUCUCGCAAAAUCUAUACGUAACGUGUAUAGCAGCUAUAUAUACAUUGAAGCAACUAUCAUUCCAUCUCAUUCAAAAACUAAUAAACAAUACCAACGAACAAUCCUAAUAUUUAAUAUUCCCAGCAAAUAAAAAAUGGUCAAGACUUAUGUUAUAAAACGGACCGAUUUCUUUUUUGUUGAUCAUAGUUGGUCUCGUGUAAUAAACAUCAUUUAGGAUAAUAUAAAUGCCGACUUCUUCAGUGUUUUUUUCCUGAAGAACAUGCUGUGUUAUUCGACUUCGUUUUUCUGGGGCAGCUUCCAUAGAAUGAUAGAAGGAUAUGUUGAACUUGGGUCUGUUUCUUAUUCGGCCACAAUACCUAUAGAUAUUAGAUAAUAGAAAAGAAAACUAGUGUAACAAUAAUUCUAUGCUAAUUCAGUAAUCAUAAUAAUCAAACAACUCUCCAUAUUAAUUAUUGAUUAUUCAUUAAUUUAAUUGUUAAAACAGAAAUAAUAUCAUAAUAAGUAUAUCAUUCCGUAAAUAAAAAAGAUAUCAUAAAAAUAAUUAAUAAUUAAUUAACACCGUAGUCCAUAAAACUGCGUUUAUCAUUCUAUAAUAUGAAGUAGUGCUAGAUAAUUCAGACUUGAUCUCAAUUAUUUUUUUUAAAAAAAAGAUAUGAUGGAUAAAUUAAAAUUUUUAAUUUAUAUACAUAUUACUAAAAUUAGUAUUAGUAUAAAUAAAAUUAAUCCAAAAUCAGUUAGAUAGAAAAUUUUGAAUAUAAUAUUAUGCAAAAGGUCAAAACAUCCCCUCUUUCAAACCGCGUAUAUCCUUCACUUAUUCUCAUCAUUUCUUACCAUUAGCAUUUUAUCUUUAAGGAAUUUACACCCUUCCUCUUCUCUUACAACACAAUCAUUUGUUCGGUAGCGUGCUAUCAUGAAUUCAUGAUGGCUAUGGUAUUUCUAAAGUCUCGAACCAAGUAGACUUUUACUACCGAAGUCUAUUAGAAAAAUAUAAUUUAUAUUAUAAUAUAAAUCUUUUUUGGAAUAGAUAAAAUAAAAAGGUAACAUACAUGUAAAUGUGAGGCGAAAACAAUCAAAUUUGCAGUAGAUGCGCGAUUGUAGACCGAGUUCGUCAACCGCGUAACGAAAUGAUCAAACAAUACAAACCGUUGACUCUAAAUUUAAUCCUUCAUGCUUCAACUUGCUUGUCGUAGAGUUCAUUAGUAUGAUUGCUCCUCUAAUUCACGUAAAUUUCACCAACGAGAUAUUACAGCUAAUUUUUCGUAAAAUCUCAAAUAAAUAUUUGUAUAUCUAGAGCAUAUACCUUUUUUAAACCUGCUCUGCAUCACAUGUGGUAUAUAAAAAUUUGACCCAUAAAAUUAAUUACAUUACUAGUUUCUCAGCAAAUUCUAACAUAGUAAACUAAUAAUUUUAUUUGCUAUAUGUAGAUAUUUAUAUAAUAUAAAUAUUAUUUAUGGGUCAAAAAUUACCGGAAACAAAUUUUAUUAUAAAUAACUCUGUCCAAAAACAUACACACAUCUCUAAUCUAAUAAAAUAUAAAAAACCUCACUUUCAAUUUAACAUUAAUAUAUUAGUACUUUUAUUAUUUGAUGAUUUUGUUAAUUUUAUAAAAGAUAGAUUAAUUAAAAUUAGAAUAUAAUUAACACAACGAUUAAUUAUAAAUUAAAAUUUCAAAAUACAUAAAAUUUCAACAAUUUAUCAAUAGUUACAGAAAAAUCAAAGAUAAAUAUUGCUCAAUUUGAACUUCGAAAUGCACUAAUUAAGCAUUUGUGAGAAAAAUAUAUUAAUUAUAAGAAUUAGUAUUUUAAUGUAAUAUUUUAAUACUUUUAAUUUAUUUUUAUGUACCGUUUUAACUUUUUCGAAUUAUUUUGUAAUACUUUAUCUUUUUCUAGUCGUCAAUUAUAUUAUUAUAAUUAAUGAUGAAAUUAGUUAAUCAUUUUUUAAAAUAUUUAAAAUCAAAGUAUCUGAAUAGUAUAAAGAUGAAUGGAUUUGGAUCACAUUGUUGGAAUAAGAUUUGAAUCCACGUCAUUUGAAUUCUAAAGGUUGGAGUUGGCCAAACUUAAUUAUAAACACUCCUAAUCUAAGCUCCCACGAUUUGACGACUUCUACGCAGCCAUUAUUAUGAAACGAAAUGGUCAUGAGAAUGCAAUUACACGACAUCCAACUUCAUACUUCAAUAAAACAAAUAAUAUCUUCAGUCUUUACCACGAAAGCUAGUCGCCAUUCAUCAACGCUCGGGACUCUAUAAAUACUUAGCUUAGUAUCAAUCAUUUCAUAUCAAAAACAUUUUCAUCCACAACGAUAUAAAGUUAUGGCAACUUCUUCAAUACUUUGUUCUUUUAUUCUUCUUAUUGUUUUCUCAUCCUUUUCUUUGCAAACUUCUGCAUCCUUUUCUCGGCAAACUUCUGGUGAUAGCGCUCAACGUUUCGUUCAAUGUUUAACCAGAUAUGCCAAGAACUCGGAAUCUAUUACUCAAGUUGUUUUCACCCCAGCCAAUGCCUCAUACAAUCCUAUUUUGCAGCUUAACUUGCAAAACCUUCGGUUCAAUACUUCCGGGACGCGUAAACCUCUAGCCAUUGUUACACCAGUUGAGGACACUCAAGUCCAAGCGGUGAUUUACUGUGCUAGAAAAAAUAGCAUGAACGUUCGGACUCGUGGCGGAGGCCACGAUUUCGAAGGUGUUUCGUAUACAGCUGAUGUGCCGUUUGUGUUACUUGAUAUGAUUAAUUAUAAUAGAGUUAAUAUAGACUUGAAAACAAGCACUGCAUGGGUUCAGUCUGGUAUUAGCCUUGGGGAAUUUUACUAUAAAAUUUCUCAAACAAGUGAUGUUCUGGCGUUCCCGGCUGGUUUAGUGUCGACGGUUGGACUUACCGGCCUUCUUGGUGGUGGAGGAUAUGGUAUGAUGAAGAGAAAGUACGCUCUUGCUGCUGAUAAUACACUGGAUGCACGUAUUGUGGAUUACAAUGGGAAAAUUCUCGACAGAAAAUCUAUGGGAGAAGAUCUGUUUUGGGCUAUUAGAGGUGGUGAUCCUGCUAGUUUUUGCGUUAUUCUCGAGUUGAAAUUGCAGUUGGUUCCUGUCCCCAAAUUAGUGACCUAUUUUGCAGUCCAAAGAACUCUGGAACAAAAUGGAUCAGCGCUAUUCCAAAAAUGGCAAUCCACAGCAGUCAAUGUGUUUCCAAGAGAUCUUGAUGUUAGAGUCGUGGUGGAUACUAUUACAAGCAAUUCAAGUGCCCGCGAAGAUAAGAAAACAGUUAGAUUCAUCUUCCAGUCAUUGUAUCUUGGUAAAAUUGACACCUUACUUCCGAUUAUGAAAGAAUAUUUCCCUGAGCUGGGCUUGGUGAGAGAGGAUUGUGUCGAAACCAGUUGGAUCAAAACGGCGCCCAUGUUUUCAUUUUUUCCGGUAGGAACUGAUCCAAAAAUAUUACUCAACAAAACGGCCCCUACAAGAAAUCCUGUCAAGAUAAAGUCGAGUUUCACGACGCAACCAAUUUCUUUGGAAGGACUCAAUGGUAUAUGGGACUUGUGGCUCAAGCAACCAGUACAAACCACGCUCAUUCAAUACACUCCAUUCGGUGGGAAAAUGAACGAGUUUGCAGAGUCUGCACUUCCAUUUCCCCAUCGUCCUGGUGUGUUGUACAUGAUCAACAUCGCCGUGACUCUGAACCAAAAUGCGGAAGCAACUUUACAGUGGAUUAAUGAUCUGUUUAAAUACUAUACUCCAUAUGUGACCAAGAACCCUAGAACUUCAUAUGUGAAUUACAGGGAUGCUGAUCUCGGAACAGGAAGCAAGACAUAUCAAGAGGCAAGCAUAUGGGGGAGGAAGUAUUACAAGAAUAAUUUUGAUAGGUUAGUGAAGAUUAAGUCUGUAGUUGACCCUCAAAAUUUCUUCAACCACAAGCAAAGCAUUCCUCUACUCAUGUGAUACAAACAAACUAGUAUCCGUGGUUAGUUAAUUUCUUGAGAAAAUGUGUCAUGGUUAUUUGGCUGUGUAAAUGUUUGUUCAAAGUGAAAUAAAUCAUAUCUUUUCCAAUGAUUGUGAAGUAAGAAUGUCUCAGUUAAUAGGCCCAUUAAUAUAUUAAAAUUUUAAGGACUUUUUUGAUUAUAUAAUAAAUAAUAAAUAUAUAAGUAAAAUAUUAUUUAGUAACUAUAUUUCGAUAAGUAAGAAUUAUAUAUUUACAUUAAUUUAAUAAUUUGGCUUUGUCUUACAUCUAUUCAAAGUUAACUUUUAAUGCUUCUUUCUUAAGGAUAAGUAAUUUAUCACUAAAAAGUCAUAACACCAUUUAUAAAAAUAUUUUUCUUAAAAUAUUUUUCCAUCACCAAAUUUACUACCACACAUUAUAUGUUAUAUUAACUAGUUUUUCUUAAAAUAUUUCAGAACUAAAAAAUAGUAAAUUAUAUAAAUAAGAGAUGGUAACAUGAUUUUUAAACCUGGAAGAGGUCAGAAAUCCGAAGAUUCCUAAAUUGAUGCCACGCACGUACAUGCUUUUAAAAACUUAUACUCCCUCCGUUCUUAAAUAUCUGCCUUUUGACUUUUUGACACGCAUCUUAAAGUGUUUUGACUAUAGAGUUAAAAAUAUUAUUUUCGAAUUUUUUUUCUGAAUAAAAAUAUUAUAUCAACAAUUUUAUUCACAAAAUGAAAUACUUGAAAAUAACAUUUCUACCUAUGUAGUCAAAGCACCUUAAAAUGUGUGCCGAAAAGUCAAAAGGCAGAUAUUUAAGAACGGAGGGAGUAUCUCCUAAGAGAGGGAAUCAAAUCCGGAGAGAUGCUCAUAAAAGUUAGAAAAAUGUUCACGUUCUAGGCAUUUAAUGAAUCCAACUAAAAGGGUUGCAAUGAAGGAGCUGGUGUGAGCCGAUCUUAAAGUCCUCUUCAAUUACCAGAUACAUGGUCUAUGAACAGCAUUCUAAAGAUUAAACACUUCUACUCCUAAUUAUUAUUAAGUCGUCUGAUCAGUUGGCAUAUUGAAAUGGUCUUUGGGUAGACAGCUUUAUAGUCUCUGUCCUAUAAUCAAACACACAUAUGUGCAAAUGUAUAUGCUCCUUUGAUCUCCAUCUUUCUGACAAAUUAAUCCCUGGUAAUUUAUCAACUCUAGCCAGCUCAAAGGGAUACCCAUUGUGUUCUAUAUAUAGAGCAUUGCUGAGAACUUGAUUUUCAAUUUUUUAACCUACUGAAAUCUGGUGUUCCGCCACUGCUUGUGUACACACAAGCUAGCUAGGAAAACUGUAAUUUAUUUUAUAAAAUAAACUUUCUUUGAAUAGUUAAAAUGAACUUAAUCAGCGAAACACUUCCGAGUUGAAGAUAAAAAUAAAUGAUAAAGCAUACAUGUAAAUGUGAGUUGACACAACUAACGGGGGUGUAUUCGAUUGGGAUUUUAAUGCAUUGUUUUUAGUCUAUGGAUUUUAAUGAAUUGUACGGGAUUUUGAUUUUGUGCGGAUUCUUGAUGAAAUGUCGCAGAGUUGAUAGGAUUUAGGUACAAUGCUUCAAAAUCCCAUUGAAUUUGAUUGGAUGUCAAAAAACUUACAAUACACUGAAGAAUGACACAAAAUCCAUCAUUUUAUGAAAUGAAAAAAAAUCCAUCAGCAUUUGAAUACCAUCAGAUUUUAAUGGAUUUUAAACAAUCCCAAUUGAAUACCAUCGGAUUUUAAAGCAUAAUUUAAAAUCCCAAUUGAAUACCACCAGAUUUUGUAGCAUAAUUUAAAAUCCCAAUUGAAUACCUCAAGAUUUUAAUGGAUUUCAAACAAUCCCAAUCGAAUAUCCUCGGAUUUGAUGAAUGCAAAAAAAUACUUUAAAAUCUCAAUCCAAUACACUCCUCUAAAUUUGCAGUAGAGGCGCGAUUGCAGACCGAGUUGGUCAGCCGCGUAACGAAAUGAUCAAACAAUACAAACCGUUGACUCUAAAUCCAAUCCUUCAUGCCUCAACUUGCUUAUCGUAGAGUUCAUUGUUAUGUUUGUUCUGUCUGAUUCACGUAAAUUUCUCCCACGAUAUAUUCCAGCUAAUAUUCGGUAUAUAUAACCUCAAAUAAAUAUUUAUAUAUCUAGAACAUAUACUUUUUUUAAGCCUGCUCUGGAUCACGUGUGCUAUAUUAAAAUGUGACCCAUCAAAUUAUCUACAUUACCAUUUUCUCUGGAAUAAUAGUUUAUUUGUUACUCCCUCCGUCCCGGUCAUUUCCAUACUGUUUUCUUCUUGGGAUGUUCCAUCAUUUCUAUAUAUUCUUAAAAUAGCAACUUUUAAUAAUGUAAAACACUAUUACACCAACUACUUUCUUCCACUAUAUUCUUUUUAUAAUAAUAUAAACACUAUUACACCCAAUACUUUCCUCCACUAUCACAAAUCUAUAAUUAAAUACAAAUGUAUCCCACCAUUUUACCCAUUUUCAUCUAAUUUUACUCAGUUUUCACAAUUUUUCUUGGUCUCCGUGUCUACGUCAAAUGUAUAUAACCUAUUGGGACGGAAGGAGUAUAUCAUAUAUGUAGAUAUAUGAUAUAGAUAUAGAUAUUAUUCAUAGGUCAAAAACUACCGGAAACUGAUUUAUUUUAAAUAACUUUGACCAAAAUAUACAUACAUCUAAUCUAAUAAAAUAAAAUAUAAAACCUCACUUUCAAUUUAAAGGAGCUCAUUUGUUGGAUGGUUACGUGACUUAUGAUUUAACGUUACUUGUAUGAUAAACUGCUAGUUUAAAAUGUUUGAUUAGCUAAUUUUGACUUGAGUUAUUAAAUAUAUAAUGAUAAUAAUAAUAAAAAUGAUUUAUGGGCAACUUGAGUAUUACGAAUAAUUUUUAUCAAAAAAAUUUAAAAAAAAAUUAAGUCGCUAAAAAUAUUAUCUCAAACUAAAUUCUGACUAUAAGUCAGUUUCUGACUUAUUUAAUUUUAAGCUGGCUUUUAAUUUAUUAAAAAAUAAAUAUUUUUUAAUUUAAAAUUAAAAACAGUUUAAAGCCAGGACAAACGUUCUAAGCUCUCACGAUUUGACGACUUCUGCUCAGCAAUUAAUAUGAUACGAAAUGGUCGUGAGAAUGCAAUUACACGAUAUCCAACUUCAUACUUCAAUAAAGAAAUUAAUUUUUUCAGUCUUUACCACGAAAGCGAGUCGUCAUUCAUCAACGCUCGAGACUCUAUAAAUAGUUAGCUUCGUAUCAAUCAUUUCAUAUCAAAAGCAUAUUCAUCUCUAACAUACAGAUAUGGCAACUUCUUCAAUACUUUGUUCUUUUAUUCUUCUUAUUCUUUUCUCAUCCUUUUCUUUGCAAACUUCUGCUGAUAGCACUCAACGUUUCAUUCAAUGUUUAACCAAAUAUGCCAAGAACUCAGAAUCUAUUAGUCAAGUUGUUUUCACCCCAGCCAAUGCCUCAUACAAUCCUAUUUUGCAGCUCAACUUGCAAAACCUUCGAUUCAAUACUUCCGGAACCCGUAAACCUCUAGCCAUUGUUACACCAAUUGAGGAAACUCAAAUCCAAACGGUGAUUUACUGCGCUAGAAAAAAUAGCAUGAACGUUCGGACUCGUGGUGGAGGCCACGAUUUCGAAGGUGUUUCGUAUACAGCUGAAGUGCCGUUUGUGUUACUUGAUAUGAUUAAUUUUAACAGAGUUAACAUAGACUUGAAAACGAGCACUGCAUGGGUUCAGUCUGGUAUUAGCCUUGGGGAAUUUUACUAUAGAAUUUCGCAAAAAAGUGAUGUUCUUGCGUUCCCCGCGGGGUUAUUGUCAAGUGUUGGACUUACUGGCCUUCUUGGGGGUGGAGGAUACGGUAUGCUGAAGCGAAAAUAUGCUCUGUCUGCUGAUAAUACAUUGGAUGCACGUAUUGUGGAUUACAAUGGGAAAAUUCUUGACAGGAAAUCCAUGGGAGAAGAUUUGUUUUGGGCCAUUAGAGGUGGUGAUCCUGCUAGUUUCUGUGUUGUUCUCGAGUUGAAAUUACAGUUGGUUCCUGUCCCGAAAUCAGUGACCUAUUUCGCGGUCCAAAGAACUCUGGAACAAAAUGGAUCAGCGCUAUUUCAAAAAUGGCAAGCCACAGCUGCCAAUGUGUUUCCAAGAGAUUUGGAUGUUAGAGUUGUAGUUGAUACUAUUACAAGCAACUCAAGUCCCCGCCAAGAUAAGAAAACCGUCAGAUUCGUCUUCCAAUGCUUGUAUCUUGGUAAAAUCGACACCUUACUUCCAAUCAUGCAAAAAUAUUUCCCGGAGUUAGGCUUGGUGAGAGACGAUUGUACCGAAACCAGUUGGAUCAAAACGGCUCCAAUGUUUUCAGGCUUUCCCGUAGGGACUGAUCCAAC